CUACUUCCUAACAGGCGAUACGUAGCUCACGGAGAAUCCAGCUAUAUUGACAUCUGACACGAAAGCAAAUCAACUGCUGAGCUGCUGGUUUAUAAACAUACAUAUAUGUAUGUAAAUGCAACGGCAACUGUUGCUUUGCUUUUAUGAAACCAACAAUUUGUUUAUUGACACAGCACACGGAAUAGCAAUGAUUGGUUUUUAUCCAGCAUACAGUUCAACAAGUGGGAGGAGGGGGUGGUAAUGUUUUAUCACAACUAGUGAUGUGCAAAAUCGUUAGUGGCGAUAGUCUCGUUAUGAAAUUUUCUUUGCAUAUAAUUCUAUAUAAUAUAGAGUACAUUACACUCUUAUAUUAUUAUAUAUAAUGACUACAUAUUGUAACAAAAUUAAAAAUUUAUGCCAUAACUUUUGUAACAAGUUCAGGGCGUUAUAAAAAUUAAACGAGACCGUCGAUGUAAAAAUUAUUAA